AGUGAACGCUGGCGGCGUGCCUAAUACAUGCAAGUCGAAUGAAGUGGCGCACGGGUGAGUAAUAUAUAGUUAAUCUGCCCUACACAGAGGAACAACAGUUGGAAACGACUGCUAAUAUCUCAUAGUGUAGGAUGAGACUAUAUCGUAUCAGCUAGUUGGUAAGGUAAUGGCUUACCAAGGCUAUGACGCGUAACUGGUCUGAGAGGAUGAUCAGUGACAUAGAAACUGAGACACGGACCAAACUCCUACGGGAAGCAGCAGUAAGGAAUAUGUCGCAGUGGUGGGAACCCUGACGCAGCAACGCCGCGUGGAGGAUGACACUUUUCGGAGCGUAAACUCCUUUUAUCAGGAAAGCGGUACCUGAUGAAUAAGUACCGGCUAACUCCGUGCUAGCAGCCGCGGUAAUAC
rnacentral:rRNA from 1 species